rnacentral:rRNA from 1 species
GAUGAACGCUGGCGGCGUGCCUAAUACAUGCAAGUCGAGCGAACGGACGAGAAGCUUGCUUUUCUGAUGUUAGCGGCGGACGGGUGAGUAACACGUGGAUAACCUACCUAUAAGACUGGGAUAACUUCGGGAAACCGGAGCUAAUACCGGAUAAUAUUUUGAACCGCAUGGUUCAAAAGUGAAAGACGGUCUUGCUGUCACUUAUAGAUGGAUCCGCGCUGCAUUAGCUAGUUGGUAAGGUAACGGCUUACCAAGGCAACGAUGCAUAGCCGACCUGAGAGGGUGAUCGGCCACACUGGAACUUAGACACGGUCCAGACUCCUACGGGAGGCAGCAGUAGGGAAUCUUCCGCAAUGGGCGAAAGCCUGACGGAGCAACGCCGCGUGAGUUAUGAAGGUCUUCGGAUCGUAAAACUCUGUUAUUAGGGAAGAACAUAUGUGUAAGUAACUGUGCACAUCUUGACGGUACCUAAUCAGAAAGCCACGGCUAACUACGUG